UCCAGACUCCUACGGGAGGCAGCAGUGGGGGAUAUUGCACAAUGGGGGGAACCCUGAUGCAGCGACGCCGCGUGGGUGAAGAAGCGCCUCGGCGCGUAAAGCCCUGUCAGCAGGGAAGAAAAUGACGGUACCUGAAGAAGAAGCCCCGGCUAACUACGUGCCAGCAGCCGCGGUAAUACGUAGGGGGCGAGCGUUAUCCGGAUUUACUGGGUGUAAAGGGAGCGUAGACGGUUUUUCAAGUCUGAAGUGAAAGCCCGCGGCUCAACUGCGGAACGGCUUUGGAAACUGAGGGACUAGAGUGCUGGAGGGGCAGGCGGAAUUCCUGGUGUAGCGGUGAAAUGCGUAGAUAUCAGGAGGAACACCGGUGGCGAAGGCGGCCUGCUGGACAGUAACUGACGUUGAGGCUCGAAAGCGUGGGGAGCAAACAGGAUUAGAUACCCCCGUA
rnacentral:rRNA from 1 species